CUCCGCGCCGCCCGGCCCAGACGGCGGCUCAGCGGGGGCGCGGAGUCCACCACGCGCCGCCGGAACGCCAGGGCUCCGCUCAGGGCUGGGCGCCUGGGGCUCCGCGCGGUUAAGGCGCCAGGGCCAGGCCUCCCCGGGCCGAGCUAAAACCUCCUCUGCGGGCUUUUCGCCCCUGACGGCCUUGUCCUGCGCCGUGCCCGUCUAAUAAUGCCCUCAGCCAGCGGGCACCCGUUCCCCACCCCGUCAAGGAUGCGCACUCACAACCUCCCCGUAGGGAGCUGUUGUGCGGGCGUCUUAGACCUCAAAGAACCUGUAAGUGAGGAAGGAAAGGAAGUAAUUUGUGGGGGACGGAGGUGGGUCUUGUUAUUUUGGGGCUUUGAAGGUUGUGUCCAAAGACAGAGCCUGAGCCUGGACCUUGCUCCCACGCGGCACCAACUGUGUAGGAGGGUUCCCUUUCCUCCGCACUCUCUCCAGCACCUGUUGGCAGACUUCUUGAUGACGGCCACUCUGACCCGUGUAAGAAAACCUGGUUAAAUGUGUCCUAAUCCGAAAUCACUGCAGAUGGUGACUGCAGCCAUGAAAUUAAAAGACACUUACUCCUUGGAAGAAAAGUUAUGACCAACCUAGAUAACAUAUUCAAAACCAGAGACAUUACUUUGCCAACAAAGGUCCGUCUAGUCAAGGCUAUGGUUUUUCCAGUGGUCAUGUAUGGAUGUGAGAGUUGGACUGUGAAGAAAGCUGAGUACCAAAGAAUUGAUGCUUUUGAACUGUGGUGUUGGAGAAGACUCCUGAGAGUCCCUUGGACUGCAAGGAGAUCCAACCAGUUCAUUCUGAAGGAGAUUAGCCCUGGGUGUUCUUAGGAGGGAAUGAUGCUAAAGCUGAAGCUCCAGAACUUUGGCCACCUCAUGGGAAGAGUUGACUCAUUGGAAAAGACUCUGAUGCUGGGAGGGAUUGAGGGCAGGAGGAAAAGGGGACGACAGAGGAUGAGAUGGCUGGAUGGCAUCACCAACUCGAUGGAUGUGAAUCUGAGUGAACUCUGGGAGUUGGUGAUGGACAGGGAGGCCUGGAGUGCUGUGAUUGAUGGGGUCACAAAGAGUUGGGCACGACUGAGCAACUGAACUGAACUGAACUGAAACCAUACGGAAAUUUAUUACUGAGUUUUAUUAACUUGAAGAUGCCAUUGAUUAUGAAAUGUAUCACUAUUAUACCACUUUGCGUAAGAAAAAAUGCUAUCAAACUAUGAAGCAAUUCUUUAUUAUCAAAUAGUUGAGAUGUGACUUGAUUUUAAAGGUGUUAUGUGUGAAAAAGAAUAUGGCUCUUAGAAUUGGUGAAAUAUGGUAUUUCUUAACAAGAAAUUGGAGUUAGAUGGCCUCAGAUUUGGUUUGGCAAAGAAUAUCAUCCAAGACUGAGGCUCCUUGUGUCUUUCUGCUUUGCCAUCUCAGCAUGUUUCGCCUUAAAAUUGCAAGACUUCUACGACAGCACCAAGCUUAGUGUUCUCUAAGACCAAGUUCAAAGGCAGAAAAAGCAGGAAGGGAACAGCGUGGGAUAAGUGCUUCUUUCCUCACUCACUUCUCUCCUUUCAUCAGAAAGCCCUUAGCAUGUUGACUCUUAUGCAACACCCACAUGGCCAUGUUGGUUUCAG
ensembl:lncRNA